GCCAGGCGUGGUGGCGCACGCCUGUAGUCCCAGCUACUCGGGAGCUCCUUGAGUCCAGGAGUUCUGGGCUGCAGUGCGCUAUGCUGAUCGUGUGUCUGCACCAAGUUCAGCAUCAAUAUGGUGACCUCCCGGGAGCGGGGGACCACCAGGUUGCCUAAGGAGGGGUGAACCGGCCCAGGUCGGAAACGGAGCAGGUCAAAACUCCCAUGCUGAUCAGUAGUGGGAUCGUGCCUGUGAAUAGCCACUGCACUCAAGCUUGGGCAAUAUAGUG
rfam:Cavia porcellus supercont2_30 genomic scaffold, whole genome shotgun sequence.